UGGUGCCAGCAGCCGCGGUAAUUCCAGCUCCAAUAGCGUAUAUUAAAGUUGUUGUGGUUAAAAAGCUCGUAGUUGAACCUUGGGCCUGGCUGGCCGGUCCGCCUCACCGCGUGUACUGGUCCGGCCGGGCCUUUCCCUCUGUGGAACCCCAUGCCCUUCACUGGGUGUGGCGGGGAAACAGGACUUUUACUGUGAAAAAAUUAGAGUGCUCCAGGCAGGCCUAUGCUCGAAUACAUUAGCAUGGAAUAAUAGAAUAGGACGUGUGGUUCUAUUUUGUUGGUUUCUAGGACCGCCGUAAUGAUUAAUAGGGACAGUCGGGGGCAUCAGUAUUCAAUUGUCAGAGGUGAAAUUCUUGGAUUUAUUGAAGACUAACUACUGCGAAAGCAUUUGCCAAGGAUGUUUUCAUUAAUCAGGAACGAAAGUUAGGGGAUCGAA
rnacentral:rRNA from 1 species